rnacentral:rRNA from 1 species
UACGUAGGGGGCAAGCGUUGUCCGGAAUCAUUGGGCGUAAAGAGCGUGUAGGCGGUCCGGCAAGUCGGCUGUGAAAGUCCAGGGCUCAACCCUGGGAUGCCGGUCGAUACUGCCGGACUAGAGUUCGGAAGAGGCGAGUGGAAUUCCCGGUGUAGCGGUGAAAUGCGCAGAUAUCGGGAGGAACACCUAUGGCGAAGGCAGCUCGCUGGGACGUUACUGACGCUGAUACGCGAAAGCGUGGGGAGCGAACAGG